UCUCUUUGAUUUCUGAUAACUGUGAGCUGCAUUACAAUAUGGUGCUUUGGCACACCUGAGUCUAUCUGUUGACUAUUAGAUUACUUACAGUCUAGCUUUUU